rnacentral:lncRNA from 1 species
CACCCCAUUUUUGGAGAGCGGCUUCUUCCUCUUCUCCUCCUCUUGCUCCUCAUCCUUGUCCUCAUCAUCCUCCUCCUCUUCCUCUUCAUCUUUGUCUUCAUCACUCUCUAUUUUUACCCUUUUCGCCCCAUUUCUCACAGCCUGGUUUUUCUCACUCCUCUUUUUGCCCGUUUUCACCCCAUUUUUGGAGGGCGGCUUCUUCCUCUUCUUCCUCUUCUCCUCCUCUUGCUCCUCAUCCUUGUCCUCAUCAUCCUCCUCCUCUUCCUCUUCAUCUUUGUCUUCAUCACUCUCUAUUUUUACCCUUUUCGCCCCAUUUCUCACAGCCUGGUUUUUCUCACUCCUCUUUUUGCCCGUUUUCACCCCAUUUUUGGAGGGCGGCUUCUUCCUCUUCUCCUCCUCUUCCUCCUCAUCCUCGUCCUCAUCAUCCUCCUCCUCUUCUUCCUCUUCAUCUUUGUCUUCAUCACUCUCUAUUUUCACCCUUUUCGCCCCAUUUCUCACAGCCUGGGUUUUCUCGCUCUCACUCCUCUUUUUGCCCCUUUUCUCCUCAUUUUUGGAGGGCGGCUUCUUCCUCUCCUCCUCUUCCUCCUCCUCAUCUUCCUCCUCAUCUUCGUCCUCCUCCUCCUCUUCCUCACUCUCCAUUUUCACCCUUUUCCCCCCAUUUUUCACGGGCUGGUUUUUUUCACUCUUCUUCCUCGUUUCGCCCCUUUUCUCCUCAUUUUCGGGGGUCACCUCCUCCUCUCUCUCCUGCUCUUCCUCCUCCUCCUCCCCCUCGCUCCCUUUUUCCCCCUUUUUCCCCCCAUUUCGCAGGGGCGGGGCCUCCCCUUCCCCUUCCCUCCCCAUUCCGCCUCUUUUCGCCCCAAUUCCAGGGGGCGGGGCCUCCCCCUCCCCCCCGUUCCCGAUUUCCCCCUUUUCUGCCCCAAAUCCCGCCGUCGGGGCCUCCAUUUCGGGCUCCGUUUCCCCCUUUUUUCGCCCCAAAAAACGCGGGGGGGGCGGGACUUCCGCUUCGGGCCCGCCUCUUCCGGGUUACUGGCGGUCACGUGGGGGGCCCUUUGCUAUCCCACAAUCCCCCGCGCUCCCCGCCGCCCGCUGGGGGCCGCCAUUUUGUCGCCGCCGCCGUCUGCCGGGCGCCGCCAUUUUGUUUCCGUACAGGCGGCGGCGGGAGGAGGGGGGAGAGGGGGCGGCGCCCAGCGCGGCGCCAGCC